rnacentral:rRNA from 1 species
GACGAACGCUGGCGGCGUGCUUAACACAUGCAAGUCGAACGGAACGGCCCUGCUUGCAGGGUGCUCGAGUGGCGAACGGGUGAGUAACACGUGGGUGAUCUGCCCCUUACUUUGGGAUAAGCCUGGGAAACUGGGUCUAAUACUGGAUAGGACCAUGCUGUAGGUGGUGUGGUGGAAAGAUUAGUUUCGGUAAGGGAUGAGCUCGCGGCCUAUCAGCUUGUUGGUGGGGUAAUGGCCUACCAAGGCGUCGACGGGUAGCCGGCCUGAGAGGGUGGACGGCCACAUUGGGACUGAGAUACGGCCCAGACUCCUACGGGAGGCAGCAGUGGGGAAUAUUGCACAAUGGGCGCAAGCCUGAUGCAGCGACGCCGCGUGGGGGAUGACGGCCUUCGGGUUGUAAACUCCUUUCAGCCAUGACGAAGCCCUUGUGGUGACGGUAGUGGUAGAAGAAGCACCGGCUAACUACGUG